rnacentral:lncRNA from 1 species
CUCCAACAUGUGUGCUGUGAAGAAGCCUGGGCCACUAGGAGCAAUCAUGUGCUAGUCUUCUAUUACAGAGUUUCUGCUGAGUUCUGAUAUUAUUGCCAGUAAUAGCCAGAUAAGGAAAUAAAUGAAGGAGCCUCCAGAUGAUAAGAUCUCAGCUAUAGAGUCAUCUCCAGUCUUUAAGUCUUGCCAGCUGAAGACACAGAUAUUUUGAAGCAGAGACAAGACACCCCUCAAUUCCCUGUUCACAUUUCUAAUCUACAGACUCUGUUUGCCCAAUGUAAUUAAAAGAUUCCUAAAAGUUCAUCAAGGAAAACAGAAGAGUCAGAACCGAACAGGCAGAUGUAACUACAGAAGCAAAAUUGGAAUGCUGAGCUAUGGGAAGUAUUCAAGUCAACUACGCUGGUUUUGAAAAUGAAAGAAGAGUGUGACCAACCAAGGAACACCGGCAGCCUCUACAUACUGGAAAAGAUAGAACCCAAGGACAUUUUACUGAUCUGAGCAUAUUUUAUAUCAAUCGUUUUGAGACUACUUUAUUUGCAUUAACAAGAACACCAAAUUGAACAGCUACCCACAUACAAAAAACACCUUCAUAAGAACCAAAAAUCAG